CCAAUAGCGUAUAUUAAAGUUGUUGCAGUUAAAAAGCUCGUAGUUGAAUUUCGGGGUCAAUACGUCGGUCGUGCCUUGGUACGUACUAACGUUAUUGAUCCCUCCCUUCUGACGAACCGUGAUGUCAUUAAUUUGGUGUUGCGGGGAAUCAGGACCAUUACCUUGAAAAAAUUAGAGUGUUUAAAGCAGGCAAUCGCUCGAAUACAUUAGCAUGGAAUAAUGAAAUAGGACGUUCGAACCUAUUUUGUUGGUUUCUAGGAUCGACGUAAUGAUUAAUAGGGAUAGUUGGGGGCAUUAGUACUCAAUUGCCAGAGGUGAAAUUCUUGGAUUUAUUGAAGACUAACUACUGCGAAAGCAUUUGCCAAGGAUGUUUUCAUUAAUCAAGAACGAAAGUUAGGGGAUCGAAGACGAUCAGAUACCGUCGUAGUCUUAACCAUAAACUAUGCCGACUAGGGAUCGGAUGAUGUUAAUUUUAUAAUGACUCAUUCGGCGCCUUACG
rnacentral:rRNA from 1 species